CUCAAAUAAAUGCGGGGAUGCCUCGGCUCGGAGCAGUCGGCCGCCUCCCUCCGCGCGCUGGACGCUCCGCCGCCGGCCGCCCGCAGGUUCCCUCCUAGUGGCCACUGCCAACCCAGUUGAAGAAGUCCUCUCUAGGUGAUGCUGCAACUGCCUUGUGACUUAGGCCCUUCCCAACUCCCUGCUCUUUUGUUUGCUGACAGAGCACUCGCAGAGGUUGGACUCGCAAUCACAAACCCGAUGGCCAUCUCUCUGUGACCGUGGCAGUGGUAGAUAGCAUUCAUCAGCCUUUCCUUCUUGAAUUCUCUUUUCCCUCCUCUUUCAUGAUGAUGCAACUACUGACUUGCUUCUGAUUUUGUAACCACAUCCUUAACUAACUGCUCACGCUCCUUCUGUUCAUCCGCGAGAAGCCGCUCUGUGCAUCCAGAGUUCAGCUCUUUGCUCUGCCUUUCUCUUCACUAUUCUAUCUGAGAGGCUUCAUCUGCUAACUGCAGCCAUCAUCUUUGUGUGGACUCUCUGCUCAGCAUCUAGCCUCGUCUUCCUCCUGAGCUCUUUAGUCUUACUUCUUCAGCUGCUUGCCAGAUAUCGCUACCUCGAGGUUCCAUCAUUACCUCAUAUCCAGUGUUUCGAAGAAAGGAAGCCUUUCCCUCCCCCUCCCCUUCUAUAUUUCCUGAGGCACCAUAUUUACUGUCAGCUCUUCUUUCAUAACGUCUCCGUUUUGCCUCCUCACCUCCAACACUCUCACUCAGGCCCCUCUGUCUCACCAUCUUGCAGUGUUUCCCAGCAUAUUUUGCUCUGUGGAUUGGCAUCCGGAAAGUAUCCUGGAGCUGCUCUGUCCCUGUGCUCACUCCUUCUGUUUCCUGCAAGACAAAAUUCUAGACUUAUUUCUCCACCAUCCCCCAUCUGAUCUCAAACUACUAUUUCAGUCUCAUUUCUUGCCACGCAAACUGUGCACUAACCUCCUCACUGCCAACAUCUUCCCCCAAAGUUCUGAAUCUUCCUACUUCCCUCCUCACGCGGGUGAGGCAAGGCCUACCUAUGUUUCAGGACCCAGCUCACUGGAAGUCACGGAUGGGGACUCCAUUGUCUGAUGUUGUUAGCUUGGCACAUAGUGGAAAGACGACUCUGAGCUGGCUAGCCCUGUAAGGUGCGUGGCUUUAAACCACUGUUCAACCUCUCUUGUGCAUUUUAAAAUGGAGAUAAAACCAAUGCAGAUGUGCACUCUGGCUGGAUAAAUCUGAAUAUGCUUGGCCAUUGGAGCCCAUAACAAUUAACUUGUUAAUUUCAUCUGUAGGGUUUUCCUCUCUCUUGGAUGAGAAUAUAAGCAUUUUAGGGUUGGGGCUGUCUCACUUACCUCAUGGUUGUCAGUCCCCAGCACAGUGUUGAGAACAGAAAGUGUUCAGUAAAGAUUGUUGAGUAAAUGGAUCAUUUGUGAUCUUCUUCUCCCCACCCUGUCCUAAACCGCACCCGGCUCCCCCUCAGUCACGGGUGUAGAGAUGCCUGCAUGCUCACACACGUCAGCAGAUUUCCUGGGAGACGCCCACUUUCAAACACUCAGCCAUUUUUUCGCAGUAAGCGUACUUGUCAGAUUGGGUACUUGCAUUUCCUGGCUUAAAAAGUAUCAAUAACUGGGGCACACUUUUGGUUUGCAUGUACUGGAACUUUCUAGAUGACGUUGCUCACUGGCCUAGGCAACUUGGGGUGGGUGUGGGGACCCACAGGGAGGACUGGGUG
ensembl:lncRNA